UACGAAGGGGGCUAGCGUUGUUCGGAUUUACUGGGCGUAAAGCGCACGUAGGCGGAUCUUUAAGUCAGAGGUGAGAUCCCAAGGCUCAACCUUGGAACUGCCUUUGAUACUGGGGAUCUUGAGUCCGGGAGAGGUGAGUGGAACUGCGAGUGUAGAGGUGAAAUUCGUAGAUAUUCGCAAGAACACCAGUGGCGAAGGCGGCUCACUGGCCCGUUACUGACGCUGAGGCACGAAAGCGUGGGGAGCAAACAGG
rnacentral:rRNA from 1 species